UACGUAGGGUGCAAGCGUUGUCCGGAAUUAUUGGGCGUAAAGAGCUCGUAGGCGGUCUGUCGCGUCUGCUGUGAAAACCUGGGGCUUAACCCCGGGCCUGCAGUGGGUACGGGCAGACUAGAGUGCGGUAGGGGAGACUGGAAUUCCUGGUGUAGCGGUGAAAUGCGCAGAUAUCGAGAGGAACACCUGCGGCGAAGGCGGGUUGCUGGGCCGACACUGACGCUGAUGCGCGAAAGCCAGGGGAGCGAACGGG
rnacentral:rRNA from 1 species